CUAAGUCUUGACUGUAUUCCUAGCUGCUGUGCUGGCAUUCUCCCCAUCCUUUUCCAUAGAAAAAAAGCAUAUCAGACUGCAAGGAGCUGUACUGGAUAUUGUCUGCUCUUUGUCAUGGAAGGAUGACCUACCUGUAUGGUCAGCUUCAGCAAGUUAUCCAGAUUCUGGAUUGGUUUGGCCAAUAGGGAGACCAGAAGACAGAAGGAGGUAUGCUGUACUCCCAACAUGAGGCUUGAACUCCAGAUCAACAACCCCCAGAUCAAGAGUUGAUUGCAUGCUGUACUGACUGAGUGAGCCAGGAAAGAUUGGUUGCUGAAAUCACUCCUCUGUCUUUGGAUGCCACUGAGCACAGGACCAUCCAUCCAUCCAGGCAAGGAGGCUUUCAUAUUUCUCCAGGCUUCCUCUGAAAAUGCUCAGAAAUCCUUCAUGGACUCAUAUGCUCAUGAAAUAUAAACCAAAAGGAACCGGAAAAGAGAUACAAAAUACAUUUUCUUUUAUUCACCCUUUGAGUCAUUUUAUUAUUUUUUAAGCCUUGAAAAGAUAGCUGUGUUCUUAUUUUCAUGUGGGCAUGAAAGCAAAUAUUUCAUUAUAGCCUCCAAGGGGCCAGGACCAAGUUAAUUGCCUUGAACUUCACAGAACUAGCCUGUUCUCUAUGGACUGCAAGAAAGAUGGCACCAUAUUUUUCUCUCUUUCCUGAUGGCUAAAGACACAGAAAACAAACCCCAGCUUCUGUCCCCACAUGUGAAAUUAACAAGAGAGUGACUUGAAGCAAUGGCAUGUUAGAAUAUUUUGCAAAAUCACGGAGAAAUAAAGACCCUUUUU